AAAGGUGUCUUUUGCGUGACCUUCUGUUGGAAAAAUUGACACCCAUUUGGAGAAAGAAGUUUAGAAAGAAGUUUGGGGACUUUUGCCUGCCUUUGCUGUAAUAACUUGAUUGAUUAGUUCCAUAGGCUUGUUGGGACUGAAAGUCACUCCCAUGAUUAAACAUGAUUUUCUUACGUGGGUCCUCGAUAGUUCCAGACGUAGAGUCAGUUCGUGCAGAGCAGAGGACAGACUUCAUCACUUUUCUGGUGUCAUAGACGUAGGACCUCCACUAUGUUUUUGUUAUUAUUUAUUAUUUUUGAGUUAGACAUUUAUCUAUUUUGUCUUUAGUUUGGAUUUUUAUUAGGGGUCCGCAUGGUAUGGAUUCCCAAGUUGUACUCCGGAGAUUUAUUAUUAUUAUGGAAUUUUAUUGGAGAUUAUGUUAUCAGAGGUUUUGUUACUUAAUUAUUGAUUUGGUUUUCCCUUUUA